AGCGAACGCUGGCGGCAUGCUUAACACAUGCAAGUCGCACGGAACUUUCGUGAUCAGUUGCGGACGGGUGAGUAACGCGUCGGGCGCUAUCCAUGGGCGGGGGACUACUCCGGUAAACUGGAGCUAAUACCGCAUGAUAUCUGCGGGUCAAAGACGCAAGUUGCCUGUGGAGGCACCUGCGUUCGGUAAGCUAGUUGGUUGGGUAAAGGCCUACCAAGGUGAUUAUCGAUAGAGGGGUAGAGAGGAUGAUCAGCCACACUGGGACUGGGCCACGGCCCUGAAUCCUACAGGAGGGGGGAAUGGGGAAUACUGGAAAAUCGGCGAAAGGCUGAACCAGCUAUGCUGCGAGAGUGAAGAAGGUCGGCGGAAAGUAAAGCACUUUCGACGGGGACGAUGAUGACGGUACCCGAAGAAGAAGCCCCGGCUAACUUCGUG
rnacentral:rRNA from 1 species